rnacentral:rRNA from 1 species
GACAGAGGGGGCAAGCGUUGCUCGGAAUUACUGGGCGUAAAGGGCGCGUAGGCGGGAUGGCAAGUCGGUCGUGAAAUCCUUCGGCUCAACCGAAGAACGUCGAUCGAUACUGCUGUUCUUGAGGGUUGCAGAGGAGACUGGAAUUCCCGGUGUAGCGGUGAAAUGUGUAGAGAUCGGGAAGAACAUCGGUGGCGAAGGCAGGUCUCUGGGCCAUAACUGACGCUGAGAAGCGAAAGCAUGGGGAGCGAACAGG